rnacentral:rRNA from 1 species
CCUACGGGAGGCAGCAGUGGGGAAUAUUGGACAAUGGGCGAAAGCCUGAUCCAGCAAUGCCGCGUGAGUGAUGAAGGCCUUCGGGUCGUAAAGCUCUUUUACCAGGGAUGAUAAUGACAGUACCUGGAGAAUAAGCUCCGGCUAACUCCGUGCCAGCAGCCGCGGUAAUACGGAGGGAGCUAGCGUUGUUCGGAAUUACUGGGCGUAAAGAGUACGUAGGCGGUUAUUCAAGUCAGAGGUGAAAGCCCGGGGCUCAACCCCGGAACUGCCUUUGAAACUAGAUAACUAGAGUCUUGGAGAGGUUAGUGGAAUUCCGAGUGUAGAGGUGAAAUUCGUAGAUAUUCGGAAGAACACCAGUGGCGAAGGCGACUAACUGGACAAGUACUGACGCUGAGGUACGAAAGCGUGGGGAGGCAAACAGGAUUAGAUACCCUGGUAGUCCACGCCGUAAACGAUGAUAACUAGUUGUUCGGUCACUUGGUGACUGAGUGACGCAGCUAACGCAUUAAGUUAUCCGCCUGGGGAGUACGGUCGCAAGAUUAAAACUCAAAGAUAGUGCGNGUGAGNGUUCGACGACGACGACGACGGAGGAGGNG